rnacentral:lncRNA from 1 species
AGGUGACUCCCGAAUGCCAGCUUAGGACGCUGUAAAGUGCGAUCAGAGCUUUCUAAGGGAAUGUUGUCUUGUACUAGGAAACCCUUAGUUUGAAGACCGUCUACAUAUAUAGCCAGUUUUAUCCGCACAUAACUUCUUGCAGGGUUUAUUCAUACCUGCAUCAACACAAGGAAGUUUAUCUUUUUUUCUGGAAUGCAACACACAAGGGGUCCCCACAUUGCACAAAGUUAUUGUGGAGUUUAUA